rnacentral:rRNA from 1 species
GUGAGGAAUAUUGGUCAAUGGACGCAAGUCUGAACCAGCCAUGCCGCGUGCAGGAAGACGGCUCUAUGAGUUGUAAACUGCUUUUGUACGAGGGUAAACUCGGAUACGUGUAUCCGUUUGAAAGUAUCGUACGAAUAAGGAUCGGCUAACUCCGUGCCAGCAGCCGCGGUAAUACGGAGGAUUCAAGCGUUAUCCGGAUUUAUUGGGUUUAAAGGGUGCGUAGGCGGUCGGAUAAGUUAGAGGUGAAAUCCCGAGGCUCAACUUCGGAAUUGCCUCUGAUACUGUUCGGCUAGAGAGUAGUUGCGGUAGGCGGAAUGUAUGGUGUAGCGGUGAAAUGCUUAGAGAUCAUACAGAACACCGAUUGCGAAGGCAGCUUACCAAGCUACUUCUGACGUUGAGGCACGAAAGCGUGGGGAGCAAACAGGAUUAGAAACCCUAGUAGUCC